UCUCAGUUCGGAUCGGAGUCUGCAACCCGACUCCGUGAAGCUGGAUUCGCUAGUAAUCGCGCAUCAGCCAUGGCGCGGUGAAUACGUUCCCGGGCCUUGUACACACCGCCCGUCAAGCCAUGGAAGCCGGGAGUGCCUGAAGUAUGCAACCGCAAGGAGCGUCCUAAGGUAAAACCGGUGACUGGGGCUAAGUCGUAACAAGGUAUC
rnacentral:rRNA from 1 species